ACAGGAACUCAGUUCUGGCACUGUUCAGGAGGGUGCCAUUGCCAUUAUAAGAGAGCAAGAGUGGUGUUCGUGAUGAGUUCUGGCACCUCUUUUUCUGCAAAAAUAGCACUGCUGGUGCUGGUAACUUUCAAGUCUUGUUAUCUAAAACUCUUUGCAAAACCCAGUUCACAAUUUAUAUCCAGUACAGCUUAGGAAUCUGAAUCACAUCAAAAUGGGAGGGUGCUUUCUUCCUAUAUAUAUAUCCCAUCCCCAUCUUAGGAGAAACAGUAGUAAUUGGGAGGGAUUAUCACAUGAUGUAUGGAAGUGAGAGCUGGACCAUAAAGAAGGCUGAUUGCCAAAGAAUUGAUGCUUUUGAAUUAUGGUGCUGGAGGAGACUCUUGAGAGUCCCCUGGACUGCAAGAAGAUCAAACCUAUCCAUUCUGAAGGAAAUCAGCCCUGAGUGCUCGCUGGAAGGACAGAUCCUGAAGCUGAGACUCCAAUACUUUGGCCACCUCAUGAGAAGAGAAGACUCCCUGGGAAAGACCCUGAUGUUGGGAAAGAUGGAGGGCACAAGGAGAAGGAGACGACAGAGGACGAGAUGGUUGGACAGUGUUCUCGCAGCUACCAGCAUGAGUUUGACUAAACUGCGGGAGGCAGUGGAAGACAGGAGUGCCUGGCGUGCUCUGGUCCAUGGGGUCACGAAGAGUCGGACAUGACUAAACGACUGAACAACAACAAAUCACAUGGUAUGCUGUGUACAUACCAUGUACACAGUUCUGAUUGCUGCAUCUCAAAAAGGAUAUUGCAGGGUUGGAAAAGGUGCAGAAAGGGGCAACCCAAAUGAUCAGGGUGCUUGACUAUUUUAUAAGGAUUAUGUUUGGGGAGUUAAGAGUGGAUGCAAUCAAACUUUAUUAAAGUUAUGCAUAAGAACAUAAGAAAAGCCGCCUGGAUCAGGUGAGUGGCCCAACCUGCUCCUGCAAUGGCCAACCAGAUUCCUGUGGGAAACCCACAAACAGGAUUUGGGCACAAGAGCACUCUCCCUUGUGGUUUCCAGCAGCUGGUAUUCAGAAGCAUCCAACACUUGGAGUCAGAGCAUAGCCAUCAUGGCUGGUAGCCACGGAUAGCUCUCGCCUCUGUGAAAUUAUCUAAUCCUCUUUUAAAGCCAUCUAGGUUGGGUGGCCAUCACUGCCUCCUGUGGAAGAAAGUUCCAUAGUUUGACUAAGUGCUUUGUAAAUAAGUACUUCUUCUUCUUCUUCCCUGCCUAUCUGGCUAGGUUUCCCCAGCUACUCUGGGCAGCUUCCAACAAAAUAUUAAAAACACAAUAAAACAUCAGAUAUUCAAAACUUCCCUAAACAAACCCACCCUCUGAAUCUUAGCAUCCUGAAUCUUCCAACAUUCAGCUUCAUUGGAUGUCAAUGAGUUCUACUAUACAGUGGUACCUCUGGUUGCGAACGGGACAUGAGCAGAACGCAACCCGCGUCUGCACAUGCACAGGUCACGAUUCGUCGCUUCUGUGCAUGCAUGUGACGUCAUUUUGAGCAUCUGCGCAUGCGCGAGCAGCGAAACCCGGAAGUAACCCUUUCCGGUACUUCUGGGUCACCGCGGGACACAACCUGAAAAGACAUAACCUGAACCAAACGUAACAAGAGGUAUGACUGUAAUGACAGAGGAAGGAAAACGUUUCUCAAUCCACUUUCUCCAUGCCAGGCAUAAUUUUAAAACUUUUAUCAUGUCAACUUUUUCUUGUCCUCUAAAUUAAAAAGUCCCAAAUGCUACAAUGUUUCUUUAUAAGGGAGUCUAUCAUCCCUUUCAUCAUUUUGGCUGCCCCUUUUUGAACCUUUUCCAACUCUACAAUAUCCAUUUUUGAAGUAAGGUGGCCAUAACUGUACACAUUAUUUCAAAUGCCGUUACAACAUAGAUUUGUGUAACAGCUUUAUUAUACCAGCAGUUUUAUUUUCAAUUCCUUUCCUAAUGAUCCUUGGCAUGGAAUUUGCCUCUUUCACCACUGUCAUUCACUGGGUCAACAUAUUCAUAAAGCUAUCUAGUAUGACUUCAAAGUUUUGUUUCUGGUCCAUUAGCACCAGUUCAUAUCCCAUGAGUGUAUAUGUGAAGUUAUGGGUUUUUGCCCCAACAUGCAACACUUUACACUUGUUUACAUUGAAUUGCACUUGCCAUUUUACCUCCCGUUCAUUCAGUUUAGAGAGGUCCUUUUAGAGCUCACCACAAUCUGUCUUUAUUUUAAUGACCCUGAACAAUUUAGAAUCAUUAGCAAAAGGCUGGAUGAGGCUGCUGAAGAGGCCAGAAAUCAUCUUGGCUGUGAGUCCUAGAACAGCUGCUUCCUGCCUUGCAGGCCUUUUCCCACCUGGCCUGGGAGGGUGAAGCCCUGACUGACUCCAGCUGCAAAAGCCUAGGCUGCUGAAGAAGCCAGAGACCAUAUUGGUUGUUCCUUAGUUCGGAAACAGGUCAUCGAACCUGAGCAUCCACAGCCGCCAUGAACCACCAUUUGCAGGGUUGGCAGCAACAGUAGCAGAUACGUUCUACGCUUAAAGUAAUAUUUUUAGUCUCUUGCUAAUUAUGCUGUUUUAAAUGUGCAUAUUUGACUUCCUUUAGUAACGUUUUCUUUUGAAGAUUUUUUUGGUUAACUUUGCUGUGUUAAAUGUGCAUUCUGUAGUUGACCUCCUUUGUAAUGUUUUAUUUCGAAAUCUUUAAGAUAGCAUUUUAGUUUCCUGCUAAUUAUUUUUGCUUUGAAUGUAUGCUUUAUAGUUGACUUUCUCCUGUAAUGUUUUAUUCUAGAUUGUUUUAUUUGAUGUUUCAAUGUAAGUUGUAAACUACUUUGAGAUUUUUUUUCUUUGAAAUAUAAAGCAGUAUACAAAGGAAAUUAUCAACAAUAAUAAUGACACUGUGAAGAGCACCUUCCACACUCUGCCCCUCCCAGCGCUGGCAGCGGCGAGGGAUGGGUAAGCACACUCUGUCCCUGCUUGGACGCGCACCUGCCCCAGGCACCUGUGGACAGUACUAUGCCCCUGGGAAGAGGAGCAGUACAUGAGUCUAUGAUUCUAUGCCAUUGCUUGUGUGCUUAGUGGGUCUCAGCCUGGCAAGCCAAGUGAAAGAAAUGGGGAAGAACAGAAGCAGCUGCACGUGGUGACAGGAGGAGGUAGAUUCAGGGAGUGGGGGGAAGCUGACAGAGUGUGCUUUACCAAAAGGGACUCCCAAAACACUGGUGCGGACGCAGUGCCUCUGAUUGCCAGUUGUUGCGCAAUAACUGUAAAUGUGGGCUAUCUCCAUGCGCUGCUUGUGGGCUUCCUAGAAGCAUCUGAUUGGCUAUUGUGGCAAACUAAAUGCUGGACUAGAAGGACUGUUAGCAGGACUCUUCUACUGCUGUCAUAUUCAUCUCCGUUCAUUCGUUUUAGCUGUUUUGAAUAUAUAAAAUAAUCACACCUGUGGACUGGUUGCUAAUGCUGUCUCUGAAGUACCAAAGUACUUCCCCAUGCUGUCAUUAAAAGACUUCCAAGUCAUGUAUGUAUUGUCACCCCCAUCAGGAAUGGAAAAAUAUGGAAAUGUGUUGUUAUUUAUAAUGCAUUCAGUUGGCUGCAUUUCUAAAAUAAUUAGAUUUGCUAGCUAACCUGACCUUAGCAGCACUGGAUUGGUUUUGGAGAAAAAUUAAAUUUUAAUCUAAAUGUUAAUUUUUUAAAUGGAUAAGCAGUUAGGAGCCACUCUAACAGACAUUUCCAUUGCGUUGGGUAUCAGUACCCCUGUCUGGAUGUGUAUUACAGAGCACUUACUCUACAGAAAAAUGAGCUUCUUCGGAAUCUCAUUUUUCCUUUUAAUCAUUGUUCUACCACAGCAUGAUUUUAGUCUCAUCUCACUUUCACAGGGAAGGUUGGGGACGUGUUGCCAAUGAGUGAAUUCAGACAAAGCUAUGAUCGAGGAAUCCCCGCAAGGUAGGACUUGGCUUGUUUCAACUCAGGCUGAUGAGAGUUGUAGUCCAAAACAUCUGGAAGGCAACAAAGACUAGUGUACAUUAGGAUGUGUGUUUUAUAGCUUAUAGCAUCUUAACUCUUUUUCAUAGCAAGCAAUAUUUUUUUACAGUGAGUAAACUAAAAAUAAAAAGGGUGCUGUAGACCAGAAACUCAGAGCAAAACAGAUUCAAAAUGGUGACUGUUUCUUAAGGCAGCGGUGCUCAUCUUAGCUUUUGUAAUCUCUGUGGUAGGCUUUCCUCAGCCCUUUUAACACCACAUCAAUCCCUAACAGCUGCUUAGGUGGCUCUGUAUCAUGUACACAUAAUCAGUCUGCAAUAUUUCCCAGCUUUUGUUGGCUGGAAUAGUGAAACAGCCAUAUGGUGACUUUUUGGGAUGUGGUGACUAUCCAUGUGUGAACAUGUUUGCAACUCACCUGCUCAUUCACCCACUUGGUAUGUUUUAAUCUCUCCACUUAUCAUCUGUAUCAGAGCAUCCAAAAGAGCGGGCACUUCUUGUAAAACAGUGCCGUCCAGAUUUUGUGGACCAUGUCCCAUCAUCCCUAGCCAUUAGCCACAUUGGCUAGAUCCAAUGCAAGCUGUAGUCCAACAGGCACACCCCUGGCUACCACUGUCUCCUAAAAGAUCACCCUCUGGUGACUUUGCCAUCAGUUUGCCAUUUAUCUCAGUGGCAUACUGAGGUGUCAAAUAUCAAAAGUGGUGUAAGAACUCAGAAACUGGGAGCUGCAACAUUGGCACAAAGUCCAGCUCACAAGACCAGUGCAAACUGUACAGUCCACAAGUCUGCCCUAGUGAGAGAAUGAAUAUACACUUCUCUCUAUGACAGUUUGUGCCUUUCCACUGAGCAAAUUGGCCCUGCUGUCUUGCCAUGCUAUCUUGUUCAAGGAAAAGAGAUGAGCAUAGAAAUAGAUCUUGUUAGAUUUUCAGGCUCUAGGAGAGAACCGUAACCUAAUCCCCUACAUAAUCUAAUUUACACAGUGCUUUCUCGCAGCCUCUGUGUUGAGAGCGGCAGCUCAGGCUUGGUAGCCAUCGUUUUGGAAGAUUCACUAGCUGCAUUUUAAAAACAACACAACAACUGAUCCCCUGUUGUCUUGCAAAUAUGCAAGUUUGCAAAGUUUGUAGCACCUUAACUAGUUAGUUCAAUCAAAUCUGUCCUUUUGCCUCAUAGAUGUACAGAGUGUGCUGAGACCUAGUAGCAGCACCAAGCCAAGACUUCAGUGUGGAGCAAAUAAAUGUAAUACUCUUUAAAGCAGGCCUUCUUGGAGCCUUGUUUCCAGUCUCCUCCCAAAUGUCCUCAUAGAAAUGCGUAAUGUUGAUCUUGUUAAAAAAGAAAAUAAAAAAAUUGCCGGCAAAUGUAGUAAUGGCCAAUAAAUUAUAUAAAGUAUUGCAACACACGCAGCACCAAUGUGGCUGUUUCGAUAGACUGUAAUUGUUUUCCAGCUCUUACCUCGUCAGUUGCUCUGGCUUCCAACUGGGGGAGAAGUGAAUAACAAGCCAAUCAGCAUGCAAAAUAUAGAACAGGGUGGCACAACACACGGCCAUCAGCCAAAUAUGAGAUUAACAUGUGACUGUAGCAAAGAACAGGCAGUCUCUGCAUUCUGUCUUUUCAGUGCUGCUUAGAAGUGCUCCUCUUCUAUUCUACAGUUCAUCCAUCAAAACAAAUCAUCCAGCUCCACAGGGUUAGCAGACAUAGGGCUGUAUCCAAUUUACCCUUAUUAGUAUUAUGAUUAAUAAUGGUAACAUGAAUUUGAUUUCUUACCUGCCCUGCACCAGAAGAUCCAAGGAUGUGUUGCAACAAUUUAAAUACAGCAUUACAAAGUUCUACCCAAGAGUUAAGUCCAUGGAAAUUAAUGGACCUAAAUUAGUCACGUCCAUUAAUUUCAGUGGGCUGCUCUGGGUAGUAUUAUCAUUGACUACAACACAUAAUCUCAUAUUGAUUCUAUCCUGGUUUAUUCAUUGCCACUGCAUUUUAUCUGAUAUACUUCACUUGUGUGCGCAACAGCUUGCUAAUGUGCAUGUAGGUUACACAGAUCCAAUUCAUCUAUGUGUGGUUUUGUGCGUGUUCAUCUUCACAUGAUUGUUUUCAGUUGAACUCAAAUGUUUCUUAUGUACACUAGUGGGCAGUGCUUGAUGGGAUGCAUUUGACUGUGUGUUGUCACCUCUCCUCAAAUAAUAAUUCCCCACUCACCUUGAGUUCCGGAAACCCGAAGUCAGUUGUGGGCAUUCGUGCAGUUAUUUGCUAAGCUGUGCAUGUGGCCACUUCCCACCCCCCACCCCGAUACAGGUUUUCCAAUAUACCAGACUUGCACAGAGCAGCAGGUUACAAACGUGUGUUUGUGUGAGUGCAUCUCUUGUUCCUGGCUCCAUCAGCAGCCCACCAAGGUACUCCUUGCCAAUGGAAGGAGGGGGUGUAGUAAUAGACAGCACCCAGCAAAACGUCACCACAGCUGUAAAAACAAAACAAAACCAUUCACACAAUAUGCUUCAGUACAUCCACGUGAUUUUACGUUCAGUACAUCCAUGUGAUUUUAUGUUGGAUUUCCCCCCUUAUGGCAUUAUCCAGGAAAUCUAGAAAAUCAUAAUUAAAUUCUGAGGAGGAAAUUGUGGGCUGACACUGGGAUGAGGACAACAUCAUGUGGAACAUGCAAAGAACAUGUGCAUAUGAGAUGUAUAAAAUCUUCUUUAAACUACUUUGUGUGCAUAGCCUCAUAUAUACUGUGUGUGUGUGUGUAAUCUGAUUUACUUCCUAUUCAAAUACAUUGAAGGAGGUGUUUGCUCAAUGAAAACAUUUGUUAGCAGCAGAAGCUGAGAUCAGGGAAGAAACAGGAAAGGACUGUACUUUUCUGCGUAUAAUACGAGGUUUGUUUAAUAAAAUAAUUAUGUUUAAAAUUGGGGGUCGUCUUAUACAUGGAUAGUGCAUAGGGGGGACGUGAGCCGGAGAUUGUCAGAGGCUUUUGGGCGUGUUAUCAGUGGCUGUGCCAAGGGCUAGUGAUGAUUGGAUGUGCGAGUGGCAGUGUAGUUAAUUCGAGUGAGCAAUUUCCUUUAUCCCCCCCCCCCCAAAAAAACUCAACAACUCUGGGCAAUCCUCUCCAAAAAAGCUCCUCACCAACUCUGGGCAAUCUCCCCCCAUUUUUCUAAUUUGUAGUCCCCAAAAAUAUACACAGGGGCAGAAAAAUACGGUACUAUACUUGGGAAAAUAUGGUACUUUUUCACACAGUUUGCAUAUUACAGUAAACCAUAGUUUAUCAUGUGGACAAAACAAACCACAACCCUUAUUAUGAAUGAAGCAAUAUGGUUUAUUUUGCUCCAGAUAAACUGUUAUCAGUAAAAUAGCAACAAACCUUAUCGAAAUUUGCUUAGGGCAAAACAGAUCACAACCCCCAAUUUAUCUAUAAUGCUAAGCCAGGGGUUUGCUUCUCCAACCCUGAUAACCUCCCUCUUGUGGGUGGGUGGUGCUGGGUUUUGGCUUCAUAAGGAUCCACACUUGGAAAAUGAGUUUCAUAGAAUCAUAGAAUUGUAGAGCUGGAAAGGACCUUGAGGAUCAUCUAGUGCAACCUUUUGGUUGCUGCUGGAGGUUCAGUUACAGUUAAGACUAAAGAUCCAUUCAUUUGCAUUUGCAAAAUGGGAAAUGUGGUGGUUCUCCCUAAAACAGGAAACAUUCAACUGGUGUGAUAUCUAAUUAACUGCACUAGAAAUCAGUUGGGUUGGGCAAGAGCCAGAGAUUCUUGGAGUAUGCAUUGAUCUGACUGUGCCGUUAUUUUGAUUUAGCAUUGAACUCUCAAAAAGUUUCAAGUUUCCCAGGACAAAGUGAGAAUACUUUUGUUUCCUCUGCAUCCCAAAUUUGGAUUUCUUAGAGGAGCAAGGAGGUAGGUUAAAGAAUAGAGAGAGUGUUUUAUGGAAAGGGGUGGAUGAGGAGAAGUACCUUUGAGCACUCAUUUGGUUCAUGUGCUGUCUGUCCAUCUACAUUCACCGGUAAAGAGAGCCCAUUUCCCCAAAUCCUGGAAACAAUCUUGCCAAGAGAGAGAUCCUGUGUAUGUGUAUGCAUGUGUCUGUAUCUAGUUGUUUCAGAAGAGAAUCUACUAUAAAAGGAGUUAAUUUAUGUUAAUGGUUUUGUCAAAUUAAACAACUACACAUACAAAUUUACUUCCCUGAAUUCAUGGCAUUACAAUCUUCCCCAUGGCAACACCGAGAGUCAGAUAUUGAGUGGCAAAGUUCAAAUGGGUGAAAAAGGAAACAAAAUUGUCCAAAUAUAUUCAAUUACCAGUUUCUUUAAAAAAGAAAAGCAAGAUAAACCUUUAGACAGUGUUUUCUGCUUGCAGAGUCCUUUAUAAUGUUUGUUCAUUUUCUUCCCAUUGUACUAAAAUGUAUAUACAGAGAGUCCUUUUAAUUUCCCAUUAUACUGUAUACCAAAGCAUUCAUGCCUAAUACUAUUACUGAUAAAGAAACCACAAGCAUAUUUGCAGAGACUGAAUGUCUAUAAAGAGACGAUCAAGGGAGUCCCUUGAGAAAAUAAAGUCCCAUAUCAGAUUAUGUUGUGAAAAGGCUGGAACUAGUAUGCUCAGCUCAAUUACAGAAGAGUGUGUGUGUGUUUUAAAGAGAGUCAGUCCUGUUUUAUAUCACACAAUUAUUUUCUUAAGCCUAGGAACAUUACAUAAAUUAAAAUUUAAGAUAAUGGUCAUUUGGCACAAAACAAGCCCUAUGAAUGCUUUGGAUAAUAAUUAAAGAGGAUUUAGCAAGAUAAUCAGUUAAUAUUCUGUGGACUUUUGCAUCCAAAGUAAAAGCUGAGAGAUGUAGUGGCCCUGUUGGCAUGUUAUAUCAUUUAGUGUGAAUGGAAAUAUCACUUUCAUUUUGCUGAUCUCCCAGUGCAAGCAGGACCAACAAACCAUGAUCCCUGGCUUACCAAAUUGGCCAUGUGACACCCAACUAUGUCCCCGCUGGUACAAAAGGAUAAAAUGGGAGAGGUGUUAUUGAAUCACAGACUUGUAGAGUUGGAAGGGACACUAAGGAUCAUCUAUUCCAACCCACUUCAAUGCAGGAAUAGGCAGCCAUUCCAUACAGGGAUCAAAUCUGCAACCUUGGCGUUAUCAGUACCAUGCUCUAACCAGCUGAGCUAUUGGUUAGUUUUUGUUUUGGUUCUUGCUUUUAUUAUGUAUUUUGUGUUUGGAAGAAGGGCGGCAUACAAACUUUAAUAAGAAUAAUAAAAAAUAUUGUCAGCAGAUUUAUCUUUAUAAUAAAUUUAUUGUGUGGAUUGUCAGCAUUUUUUUUAAAGCAAUGGCAACCUCUGUGCAAAUAUUUUUUUAAAUCUAGUGAGAGAGAGAGAGAGAGAGGGACCAUGCAUAGCUGCAAAGCUCACUGGGUCACUCAUUAUCUCUGCAUUAUAUGUGUAUAUGCUUGCAUACAUAUAUAGCAAAAAAACAACAACCCAGAUAGACUAAAGUUUUAACAGUGUAAGUGGCUCCAAUAAAAAUGGAAAGUAAAAUGUCUUCUAACAGAUGUGAGAGUUUUAUGGGCACCUCCCAGUUAUUGUAAAAUCCCAUCAUGAGAUAACCUAGCAUGUGACACCAUCUUGUAAGACACAGUAACUACAGUGGUACCUCGGGUUAAGAACUUAAUUCGUUCCGGAGGUCCGUUCUUAACCUGAAACUGUUCUUAACCUGAAGCACCACUUUAGCUAAUGGGGCCUCCCACUGCCACCGCGCCACUGGAGCACGAUUUCUGUUCUUAUCCUGAAGCAAAGUUCUUUUGACCUCCCUGCCAAUUUAGAUACAGCAACUGAACUGGAGGCCCCUCAACUGUCUUCGGGUCCAGUGUUGGACCAUUUCGAUCGGAUACUCCCUGCUGAUGUGGAUAGAUUCCUCCAAGCUGGUAGGCCCACCACCUGCCUCCUCGAUCUGUGCCUGUCUUGGCUGAUUAGGGUGUGUCCAGAUGUCGCGCGGACCCCCCUGGUUGAAAUUAUCAAUUUGUCCCUUGGCACGGGGACAUUCCCAGGGGAACUGAAGGAAGCAGUGGUGUGCCUGCUCUUAAAGAAAACUUCACUAGAUCCUUUAAGGUAAAGGUAAAGGUACCCCUGCCCGUACGAGCCAGUCGUGUCCGACUCUAAGGUUGCGUGCUCAUCUCGCUCUAGAGGCCGUGAGCCGACGCCGUCCAAAGACACUUCCGGGUCACGUGGCCAGCAUGACGAAGCUGCUCUGGCGAGCCAGCACCAGCGCAGCACACGGAAACGCCGUUUACCUUCCCCCUAUAAAGCGGUACCUAUUUAUCUACUUGCACUUAAGAGUGCUUUUGAACUGCUAGGUGGGCAGGAGCUGGGACUGAACGACGGGAGCUCACCCCGCCGCGGGGAUUCGAACCGCCGACCAUACGAUCGGCAAGUCCUAGGCACUGAGGUUUUACCCACAGAGCCAGACCUAUCCAAUUACCGCCCAGUUUCAAAUCUUCCAUAUCUGGGUAAGGUAAUUGAGAGAGCAGUUGCUGAACAGCUUGGUAGGUUUCUGGAAGAAACAUCAGCUUUAGAUCCAUUUCAGUCUCGGUUCCGUCCUGGUUUUGGGACCGAGACAGCUCUGGUUGCCCUAACAGAUGAUCUCCGUAGACAACUGGAUCGAGGUGGGUCAGGACUGCUGAUCCUUUUAGAUUUAUCAGCAGCCUUUGACAUGGUCGAUCAUGAUCUUCUGGACCACUGCCUCGCUGACGUGGGGAUACAGGGCAUAGCCCGUAAAUGGCUGUGCUCUUUUAUCUCUGGCCAGGGACAGAGGCUGGCGCUAGGGAGGGAGAUGUUGUCGCACCACUCCUUGGUGUGUGGAGUGCUGCAGGGUGCAUUUCUCUCCCCAAAGCUUUUUAACAUCUUUAUGUGCCCCCUUGCCCAGAUUGUCCGGAGCUUUGGGCUGGGCUGUCACCAAUAUGCUGAUGACACUCAGCUCUAUCUGCUGAUGGAUGGCCACACUGACUCGGCACCGGACACACUGACUAGAUGCUUGGAAGCUGUGGCUGGAUGGUUUUGUGGGAGCCGAUUGAAACUAAAUCCUUUGAAGACAGAGGUUCUCUGGCUGAGUCGGGAUGGCGUGGAGAUGAGGGACCAACUCCCUUCUCUUGCGGGGGCCCAAUUAGUGCCAUUGUCUUCCGUUAAGAGUUUGGAUGUAAUCCUUGAUGCCUCCCUUUCCAUGGAGGCACAGGUUACAGCAACAGCCAAGACGACAUUUUUCUACCUUCGCCGCAUCAAGCAGUUGGUCCCUUACCUUUCCCGCCCCAACCUGGCCACAGUGAUCCAUGAGACAGUCACCUCCAGGCUUGACUACUGUAAUUCGCUCUACGCAGGGCUGCCCUUGAAGCUGUCCCAGAAACUCCAGCGGGAGCAGAAUGCUGCAGCGAGUCUCCUCACGGGGUCUCUGCCAUGGGAGCAUAUUCACCCAGUGCUUUUCCAGCUGCACUGCCUACCGGUGGAGUGCAGGGUCAGAUUUAAGGUGCUGCUUUUGACCUUUAAAGCCCUUCACAGCCUAGGACCCUCGUACCUACGGGACCGCCUCUCCCGGUAUGCCCAAUGGAGAGCCUCAAGGUCCAUAAUUAGCAACACCCUAGUGGUCCUGGGCCCUAAGGAAGUUAGAUUAGCUUCAACCAGAGCCAGGGCCUUUUCAACACUGGCUCCGGCCUGGUGGAACGCUCUGCCUCAUGAGACCAGGGCCCUGCAGGAUCUGAUUUCUUUCCGCUGGGCCUGUAAGACAGAGUUGUUCCGCCUGGCCUUUGGCUUGGAGUCAAUUUGAUUCCUUCCCCCUCUUUCUUUUUUCUUUUUCCUUUCUCCUCCUGUGAUGAGGCUGCAUUUUAAUAUUUUAAUGUUUCAAUAUUUUAAUGUUGUAUUUUAAUCUUGUUUUUAAGUUGUAUUCAUUCAACUUGUUUUUAUUAUUGCUUGUUAGCCACCCUGAGCCCAGCCUUGGCUGGGGAGGGCGGGGUAUAAAUAAAAAUUAUUAUUAUUCUUAUUAUUAUUAAUCUGAGGUACUAUUUCUGGGUUAGCGGAGUCUGUAACCUGAAGCGUAUGUAACCUGAACCUGAAGAGGUACCACUGUACUAGAUCCCCCAGAAAAUGCAUUGGACACAAUGUUUUGGGAAGUUCUCUUGCAAAAAGAACACCAUGGAUGAACCUACUGCUUCUUGCUCUUCUCUCCACUCCUGCUUAGGAGAUAGAACAACACUUGACCACACAGCAAGUGGACUCCUCCCCUUUGCACUGGAAGCCACGAAUCCUAAGAAAUCCUGUUCCUGCUUUGGCAGAUUUUGAAAAGCAUUUAUUAGUUUUGAGGUAAUGUGAUUUCAGCAUUGGAACUGCAGAAAAGAACAUGUUUAAAAAAUGCAUGUUGAUGGUUCCUCUUUCUCCCUCUCUUGCUGUUUAAAAAUAUAAGAGCUUAGCUAAGUACAGAAGGUAGAACAGUGUCUCAAAGUUGCUUGCUGAUGUGAGUGCCGUGAGUGUUUGUUCUUAUAAUGCCGCAAAGCAGCCAUCAUACAUGCAGUGAAAUUUCAUGACUUCCAAGUGAACUCUGCCUCCAUGUCCUGGAGUCAUUUUAAACUGUCCAACUUACUUAGCAUCUCUGGGGUUCUGAAGCCAUCUAGAGUAUUGUACAGAGAGCUGAUAGCAGCUGACCUCUUAUGUUCCUCGCUGCUAUCUUCUGCAGACUGGGAAACAUUAAUUUGAUUAUGCUGCUAAUGAAUCCUUUUUUUAUGUACUUGUGGUUAUUAUGUUAUGUUUUUAGUUUGUACCCAUAUCCUACAUGCAAAAAAAAAAGGGACUUUGCUAUAUGUGAAUGUGUGUUUAAAUAUAACAGGUGCCUGCAGCAGGGAACACCUGAUUGGCUGGUGUUUCAUAGAUAGAUAGAUAAGUAUUUUAUUACGACUUUUAUCAUUUAUAUGCUGCCCAUCUGACUGGGUAGCCCCAGCCAAUCUGGGCAGCUCCCAACAAAAAAUAGUAAAAGCACAAUAUAAUAUCACACACUAAAAACUUACCUGAGCAUGGAUGCCUUCAGGUGUCUUUUAAAAAUAACAUAGCUGUUCCACAGGGCUGGUGCGACUACCGAAAAAGCCGUCUGCCUGGUUCCCUGUAACCAGACUAUGGCUUUGGAGGGUGUACGAACAUGCUGCUUGUUCACAUUAUACUUCAGUUUGUUUAAAACAAUAGUUUUAUGGUUACAUGUGAACCAAGCCACAGGAUUUGGUUCACAAGUCCAAGACUAUCCACUAAGGUGGAGUCAGGGUUUGAACAUAGGUUUCCCAAUGCAAGGCAUUACCUCAGCCUAGCUUUCCACACAGUGUUGUAUGAGAUGGAAAUGGGAUGAUAAUAAUAAUAAUAAUAAUAAUAAUAAUAAUAAUAAUAAUAAUAAUUUAUUUAUACCCCACCCAUCAGGCUGGGUUUCUCCAGGCACUCUGGGUGGCUCCCAACCUAAUAUUAAAACACAAUACAGCAUUGAACAUUAAAAACUUCCCUAAACAGGGCUGCCUUCAGAUGUCUUUUAAAAGUAGGAUAGUGGCUUAUUUCCUUGACAUCUGAUGGGAGGACGUUCCACAGGGCAGGCACCACUACCAAGAAGGCCCUCUGCCUGGUUCCCUGUAACUUCGCUUCUCGCAGUGAGGGAACCGCCAGAAGGCCCUCGGCGCUGGACCUCAGUGUCCAGGCUGAACAAUGUGGGUGGAGAUGCUCCUUCAGGUAUACAGGACUGAGGCUGUUUAGGGCUUUAAAGGUCAGCACCAACACUUUGAACUGUGCUCAGAAACGUACUGGGAGCCAAUGCUGGUCUCUCAGGACCGGUUUUAUAUGGUCCCGGCGGCCACACCCAGUCACCAGUCUAGUUGCUGGUUUCUGGAUUAAUUGGAAUUACUCCCAUGUAUGCUAUCUCAACCCUCUUGGAAGAAGGAGGACAAAUGUGGUGAACAAAUAAGACUAGCUAGUUUAAUCUAAAAGUUCUGACUGCCUGACUACACAACGUAUACUUUUUUAAACAAAAAAUCCUUAGCUUUUCAUUUAGCAGACUUCUUGGUGCAUCCUGAAUUGUCUGCUGUGAUAUCACCACAUAAAAAUAGGCCAUUUGGAACACUGCAUUGGAGGGAGCCAGUCCCGUAUUUGACUCCCACAUUCCAUGACAGCUGAAUUCCAGUCGCACUUAUCAGUAGCUGUCUUGUACACUGGUUGCAAUGCCUUGGGGAUAGUUCUAAACUAAUUCAUAUUCUCUUAUUUAAACUUCGAACUCAUUCUUGAUUUAAUUGCUGUAGUGUGAGACAUUUGAAUUUGUAGCUGCCUAGAAUUGGUUCGGAAUUCCUCCCCCCCCACCCCACCCCACUUUCCCAUGUUGAUGCUCUUGGGCCGCUGUGUGUCACUGUCCGAGGACACAACUUCUUAUUUGUUGGGUCUCUGAAGUCAGGGCAGCAGUAUUUCAAUAUUUGUUUGCACUCAGAUGAUUGAAGUUGGAUUUUUGCUGUUUAAAUACCAGUAUUUAAAAUACAAAAAGCUGCCAUCACCACCUCACUGCCUCUGUUUGCUUUCCCAUUAUGUUCAUGCAAGAUUCCAUUUUCCUCUUUCUUCACAUUCUCCAGGUCUAUAACAAACCCCAUCUGAACCUUUUAUCCACCCACUAAGUCCAGAUUAAUUUAUUGCAUUCCAUACAGCUCUCUAACUGCUUCUUCUAAAUGUGUGAUGGGGCUUAGAGGUGUGCAAAGGGAUUCAGAGAUAAGGAGGGGGAGAUGCUUCCCAAUUCCAUCUUGCAGUGAAAGGUUGAGUUAUAAUACUAUUGCCUCUGAUUUUUGUUACACGUGGCCAUGGAAUAAGACGCAGGACGAAUGACUGAUUAGAGCUCAUGUUUAGCUAAAUUAACAUCUCAAGUCCUUUUUUAUGGCUAAAUCUCAGUUCUUCAUAAUCUAAAAGCAAAUAUUUGCCUUUAAUAUCUCUGAUUUAUGCAUAGAAUACCAUGUGCUGUUCAUUUCCCUCUUAAUUAUUAUUAUUUCUUUAAAACCGCUUUCAGGCAGAAAGUCAAAGCCUGCUGUGUUUUAUAUUAUACUCUGCAACUCAUUUUCCUCCCCCCCCACCCUAAAUGAAACAUCUAAUUAAUCUAUGUACUGUGAAUGCUUUCUGUUUAAACUCUCCAUGCUCAUAAAAAGAGCUGGACAAAAGUAUAAAAUGUAGCUAAUUUGUUACAGCUAAGGGGAAACAGUGGAUGUGAAAUUAUCUUUUUAUAUUCCCAAAUGCCUCUGCAGAUUGGGGGUCAGCGCACCCACUGCAUAAAAGAACCAAAUGAAGGAAAUGCCAACUGAAGGAAAUUUGAAGAGGCCCUUGAUAUUCCACUGGAAGUGGAAUUCUCCCUAUUAAGAAUUAUACAAUAGCAUAUUGUUGGUUUUCUGUAAUUUAUUAUUUUAUUUUUAGCAAUAACAACAACAAAAAAUCCAACGCUUUGAUUUUUUUGUGUUGUCACCAUUAAGGAUCAUUUUGAUCCUUAUCCUUUCAGAAAUGAGAGAUAAUUUUGAUUUUGCAACCCUUUAGUAGCAAAGCCAAUUAUCUUCAGAACUUUGAAAGUUCUUACCUGUCCUCAUUAUAGCUGCACACUACCGAACAGGUAAAUGCUUUAAGAAGCCUCACUUGCAGUCUGCAGCUCACUUAACUGAACACUGUGAAUUAAGAUUAUUUAAUCCACACCUACCUGGAUUUGUAGCUCAGAUCUGUCAGACUGAUAAAAUGUAUAUAUCUUAUAUACAUAAGUUAUUCAAUAAGUUAUUAAGUUAAGUUAAGUGAUAAGUUAUUCAAAUGAGAAAGGGUCAAGGGGUCUAGGUUUGACUGAGACAUGGUCAUAAAUUUAUGCUGCAACCAUUGUUACUUUUGUUUUAUUCUUAUAUCCUGUUAUUUGUUUAGCAUGCAGCCUAGUUCUAUGCAUGAUUACUUAGAAAUAAACCUCAGAGAAUACUAUGGAACUUACUCCUAAGUAGAUACACACAGGAAUGUGACCUUAAAAUAGGUUCCCUUCUAGUGGCCAUGUCUCGGUACUGUUGCAUCCAUGCUGCUUAGAUUCACCAUUUCUGUUAUGUACUCUGAGAUCAGUUACUACACUUAAGUGCUUUCCUAUGAUUAAAUCCCAACUAAGCUCGUUGGAGUUGACUUCCAAUCAUGUUUGAGAUCUUGUCAUUGUCAUUUUAAAAUUGGGGGGGGGGGGUCAAUGGCAUUAAGGUAUUACUUUGUUAAAAAUCAUGAAGGUUUGAAACAUUACACUGAAAUCCGGAGGUGCAAUGUUCAGUUCAUUGCAUUGCUGUAAAUGUACUUUGUGACCUUGGACAAAUUACUUUGGCCUCAAUCAGAGAUGGUCACAUGCAACCAGAUGUGGUGCUGGUGAGAAUCAUGCACAAUACAUAUGAGAGGAUACACUUUCUUUUCUGCACUGAGAGACAUGUGAGCCUGUUCUCCUUUGCCUGCAUUCUGCAUGGAAAUGAGAGCUUUUAUGCAGUUAUGUGCAUCCUGCCCCUUUCAGUUUGCACCAGCACUCCCAUGUAUAGGUCAACUAGUUUAUGUGCAGCAGCAUCAUGUGCUGAUUUGCACAUGGAGAAGGCAAAUGGUAGCCUCUGCUGGUGAGCUUCCUGUCUUAUCCUGUCUUAUCCAGUUCUGUGGGAUCUGUUCCAGCUAUUGAGGCCAUAGGAUGUUGACAUUGUGCUUCAAAGUGUCCAUUCCACCUCUUGACCCUUGCCUAUCCCGGCUUGUCCAUUCAAGCUGGCAAGUGGGGAGGAUCUAGUCAGGGGAAGUCCAGGUGAUGGUUAACACAUAAUUUUGGUGCUGGGUUGUCCUAACUGUCUUGAAUGAGGAAGUACUAUGCCCCCUCCUGGAAAAACCCUCCCUAGACCCUGAGGUGUUGACAACUAUCAUCCAGUGUCUAAUACCACCUUUUUGAGUAAGGGGCUCAAGCAGACAGCGGCAGUUCACCUAAAGUCACUAUUGGAGGAAACAGAUUACCAGGAGCCAUUCCAGGCAUUCCUGCCAUUUUCAGGCAUGUGUUGGGCAUAAAUUCAGCCGUGUUCACCCUGACAUGAGCUCAUUCAAGGGAGAGACAGGAGGAGUGCAACCCUACUGCUACCAUUGGAUAUCUCAGUGGCUUUUGACACCAUUGACCAUAGUCAAUGGAGCAUUUCUGUUGGGAGUUGGAGGCACUGUUCUGCUCCUUCUUGCAUGACCGUUACCAGAGAAUAGCAUCAGGGGACUACAUGUAUACAGCUCUACUUUUCCAUUAAAUCUGAGUCAGGGGAGGCCAUGCAUAAGCUGAACACAUGACUGGAUACAGUGGUGGAGUAGAUGAGGAUCAAUAGAUUGAAGCUGAGUCCUGCUUCACUAUGGGUAAGUGAUUCCCAGGUCUGCCUGUUCUAGAUAUGGUUGCACUCCCUCUGAAAGUGUAGGAUGUUCUUGAGACCAUAUUUAUCCAUGGAGGCCCUUAUGGCCUCUAUGGUAAAAAAAAUGCCUAUCAUCAGCUGGUGCAUCAACUGCACCCUUUCCUGGACAUGGAUAACAUGGCCACUGUGAUGUGUGCAUUGAUAUUAAAUCAUCAUCAUCCUCUACAUUUUUUCGUGCAAAUAGGAUCUGGGGCAAGUUUUGACUUGCAUAGUCAACUGAUCAGUGCAUACUAUUCUCAACCCUUCUGUUCAUUGGCAAGAUAGGUUCAAGAUUAUGGUUUUUCUGUUUUCAGAUACCAUGUUUAAAGGGGGGUGGGGGAGAUACUGCAGUACCUCCAAACCCAAUUCCUUUGGGUUGACAGAUGUUUGGUCUGUGGUGGAUCUCAGCUUGAGAAUAUGAAGAACCAAUAAGCUGUUGACAUUACUGAAAUAUUUAGAAGUGAAAUGUCUGUCUCACUACUAAAAUUCAUAAUGAGCACUGAGGGGGAAAAGAAUUAGAUAAAUGCACAGUAUGAUGAAUUGUAUCAGCAGAAUUCCCUCCCUCCUUCCUUAAUGGGAUUUUGUCAAGAGUUUUGCAGGAGGCACCAGCUGAUCCUUAAUGCCUUGAGAACUUAGCAUUUGAAUUCUUUACUGUGUUCAAAAGCAAUUUAGGAAAUAUUACCAUAGCAAGAAAGAUGCUCCAAAACAGUAAUAUAUGAAGUCUCAAUGGGAUUGCUUAUUUGCAGGGGAAGCUCUCACAGUAAAAAAUACUAUAAAUCCUAUAUAAGUCAGUAAAUGAGUAAAGAGAAGACAAAAUAAUUAUCAAGAUAAUGUUCAAAAUCCUUUAAGUACUCGGGGAUUACAGUAGAAUUCAAUUUAUCUGAACCAAGGCUAUCUGCAACCCAUAGAAAUUUAAAGAAUAUGAAAGUCAUUUAGUUUGACAUUUUUUGAAUGAAGUAUGAUCCAGGAAACCCAGAUUUGCUAAGUUAUUGCUAUGCAUAUUGUACCAAAAGAGUAUUAAAAGAGUUGCUGGAACACCACCAAGCCUGGAUAACCUCCCUUCUGAACUGGAAGCCCUAGAUUGUAUCCAACUAAAUUUUACUCAGAGUAGCCACAUUGAAAUCAAUGGUAGUCAUGCUCGUAAAUUUGGUGCACCCAUAACACACCAUUUCUUCAUCACAGUAGAGGUCUCUGAAUAGGUACCUUCCAACUUCUCUUGCCUAAAGAUGAUAGAGAAUAAUAGAGAAUAAAAUCUGCUUCAUAAUGUCCAAGCCCAACACAAAGCAAGCCAAGGUACAGAAAGAACAGACUGCUGAGCUGCAGGAGUUGCCCCUUUGCACAUGUGAAUUAACUUUGGAUUAGGGGGAGGAUAAUUUUUUUAAUGGAAGUUUGAAAGUGGGACAUGCCAAAUAGCAUCUUUCAUGCUUUUUAAGUGCUUUAAAAUGGAGGGAGAGGGCAUAUUGUCAGGAAAGCAUUAUUCAAUGUUUGGGUGAGAUAUAAGGAUUUGUUGGAAAGUAAAACACCAAGGUGGCGAUCACCAAUGGAGGCUAAGGCUCUGAAAAAAACAAAUAUGGAGACAAACUGGCCAAAAUAUUGUGAAAUUUUAGAACAAGUUGGAGAUAAAUUAAAAUUGCAGAGCUUUGACAAAUUAAAAACUAAAGUUCGAGAUUGGCUGCACUAUUAUCAAAUAAGGGAGGUUUUUAAUUUAGAUAAAAAGAUUGGCUUCCAGGAGGAAAAAUCUAAACUGGAAACGGAAUUGCUAGAACCUAAAACUAAAAACCUGUCAAGAAUGUAUAACCUGCUGUUGAAAUGGAAUACACAGGAUGAAAUGGUUAAAUCUGCUAUGAUUAAAUGGGCGCAAGAUGUUGGGCAUAAUAUCAUGUUUGCUGACUGGGAAUGGUUAUGGACAACAGGUAAAAAAUUUACGGCUUGUAACGCCUUAAGAGAAAAUAUAAUGAAAAUGAUUUACAGGUGGUACUUAACCCCAGUCAAGCUAGCAAAAAUUUAUCAUUCGCCUGAUAAUAAAUGUUGGAAAUGUAAAGAAAAUGAAGGUACUUUUUUCCACCUUUGGUGGACGUGCCCAAAGAUCAAGGCCUUCUGGGAAAUGAUAUAUAAUGAACUAAAAAAGGUAUUGAAAUAUACUUUCUUGAAGAAACCAGAGGCCUUCCUCUUGGGCAUGGUCGGCCAAUUGGUGCGAAGGGAAGACAGGAAUUUCUUUAUGUAUGCGACAGCAGCGGGAAGUUUUGUUUUUGGGAAAUACUGGAAGACACAAGAAUUGCCUACCCGAGAAGAAUGGCAGAGAAAAGUGAUAGACUAUAUGGAACUGGCUGAGAUGACCGGCAGAAUUCGAGAUCAGGAAGAAGGGUCGAUGGAAGAAGAUUGGAAAAAAUUUAAAAUAUAUCUUCAGAAAUACUGUAAUAUAAAAGAAUGUUAGAAAAGGUUGGAGAAGAAUAUUAGACCGUAUUGGCAGACAGAGUAUAAUGGAAUAAGUAAAUAUGAAGUGUAAAAUAAAGAUAGAGGAGAAUUAAAUACUUUCGAAUGUUAAAAUAAGUAAAUGAAAAGAAGGUUAGAAGGAUUUGCUGGAGAUACGAUUCAAACUAGAAUACAAAGCAGAGAGGUGAGAGGAAGUCACGGAAAUAAGUAAAUGGGAAAACGGCUUUAAAGGUUUAAUUUGAUUUUUGGUUAUCUUUUUAUGGUGAUUUUUUGUCUUUUGCAUUUUUCUUUUGUAUUGUUUGUUUUUUGUAUAAGAUGUAUGUGAUUUGUUUUUCUUUUUCUACUUUUUUCUUUUUCUGUAAUUUUUAAAAUUGGAAUAAAUAUUCUUAAAAAAAAAAAAAUGGAGGGAGAGGGGUUUCCAGUGUCAGCUAGGAAUGUACGGUAUCUGUUGGGGAUGUGCACCAGGCACAAGAUUUGAUUUGUAUCUAUCAUGUUGGGAAGCAGCAUGACUUGUUUGGAAGCCACACUGUGUCUUUUCGAUUUGACUUGUUAUUUGAUACCAAAUCGGAUCUGUUAAAAAUGAAGUUCUGAUCCCAUACACCCUAUUCACUACAAUAGGAAAUCUGAAGUGGCUAUAACUUUUUUCUUUUUCACAGAGUGGAUGGAAUUUGCAGGCAUAGCAGCUUUUCUAAAGUGGAUUUAACUUACCAAAUUGUAGGUGGAUACGUCCCAGGAUUUUCAUGUAGGGCACCUUUUUCUUUUUCUGCCAGAAUUGGAUGCAUUUGCAGACAUGGGAUGAAGCCUGACAGAUUUUAGAAGGAUAGUUAUAAUGGUUCUCUCCCAAGAGAAGACUACUGUUUUGGAGUGAGUACAAUAAGAAUCACGGGGGGGGGGGGGGGCACGGGGUUGCAUUGGGAAUUAAUCUCCUGGCAAGGGCCCUGUUACCUCAAGGGGUGGGGGUGGGGUUCUGCCUCCCAUGAAUUUUGGGGGAUACUAUGAUAGACUAAACUAAAGCACAGUUUUAAAUCCCUUGCCCCAAAUCAAUGUGAUUGGAAUGCCCUUGGGAAAUAAUUCACUGUGAUGAAAAGCUAAACCAGUUUUUCAAGAUGUAAGAUCCCACCACCACUUUCCCUCUCAAGUUCUGGGUGUUUUCUUAGUUGGUUUGUUGAGUUUUGGAAAACAAAAACAAAUGGUUGCACAUUUUGUGGGCAGCUGAGGCUACAGAGCCACUCUGAAUUUAAGGGAGUCUUUGAUCUGACUCAAGAUAACUUGUCAACUGUGCGAUCUGGCUCAGAAUAGUCAGAACCUCUCCCCAAAUCACACCAAUUUGUUUCAUAAUGUUAGGUAUACACAGAGCUGCUACAUACCCCUCAUAUCUGUUUGCAGGAUGCAAUAUGUGUCUACUAAUAUUAUUAUAUCACAAUGGCAUUGUAUGCAUUCUUCAGCAUACAGAGGAAUGACUGAUAUCACUGUCAGCUGACUGUGUUUUUGCCUAAAACAACAAAUGCACUGUUUGUAGUCUGUUUUUAUAUGCAACUUAGGGGUUCUGUAUUCAUUGCUAUCCCUUGGGGCUCAAGCAGCCUUGGUAGCAUGGCUUCCAUCAGCUUUGGCUGCUGGCCCAACAGCAUCCCUUUCUCGACAGAGAUAGCCUAACUACUGUUAUCUGUGCUCUGGUAACCUCUAGAUUAGAUUAUUGCAACGCUAUACACAUUUCAAUGUUAUACAUAAGACUGUCUCUGAAGACAGUUAAGAAACUUCGCCUAGUGCAGAAUUUGAUGGCCAGUUUACUCACUGUGGCACAUAGCAGCCAACUCCUAGAUGCCAAGGUCAGUCAAUUAUAUGGGGCAGGGCUUACCUGCACACACACACACGCACACUUGAAUGUUUUAUUUAUGUUGGCUGCACUACUGAGUGUAUAAUGCCAAUGCUAGCCUGACUGCACUGGCUGCCAAUUAGUGUCUGGGCACAAUUCAAAGUGCAGGUUUUGACCUAUGAAGCGUUAAAUGGCUCAGGACCACAAUACCUGAAGGACCACCUCUCCCCGAGUGAACCAAUCCAGAACCUGCACUUAUCAUUUGAGUACCUCCAUGAGACAUCUACUGGGAAGAGUUGCUGUGCUCACUCGGCCUGGCCUCCUGAGCUGCUUUGUUCCUUUGAAUAAAGCUCAUUAACUUCACUGACACCGUCUGAGUUGUUUCCGACCUGCUCCAGGCACCCACCCUGACAUUCAUUCUCUACCCAGUUUUCCCUCUGGUCCCACCUACCACUGACACGUGUGGCCCUAAGAAGGUAGGCCAGAAAGGGAUGGUCCUUUGGCUGAAAAAUGUCCCCCACCCCUGCUGUAGUGGCAGCAACAUUCACUAAUCCAUUGCUGAGUCUGGGUACCUCCUCUUCAUGCAACAGCUGCAGAAGAUAUUUCCUCCUGAUAGCAUAUAAUAGGGCUGCAUGCCAUGUUCAGCAUCAUCGUUAACACCCAACACUGGGGUUUUCCAACUCAGUCGAGGGCUGGGCUUUUGAAAGGAAAAUAUUAUGGCAUCUAUUACAUGGAUAUGCCUUCACUAUUACUUGCUAGUUAACCAGUGCAUUUCAUGCUUGAAAUAAUGCUUAAGAGCUUACGAAAAGAAUUGAUUCUCAAGCGCUUUAAAUGUACCUCUGUGAGUCAUCAUUUUAAGGAACCCACUCUAACCAAAGUAUCAUCAUGUCAUGUUCCCACUUAAAAGGAAAUACAUUUACUAGGCUGCAAAGCUGAAGGAAACUUGUUUGUUUAUUUUUUACUUUUCACAGCCAAAAGAAGUACAUUUGUAUUUUCCUGAAUAUUUUUAAAAACAUUUUUUUUUAAAUUUUCCCCCCGGUUGUAUGGAGAACAAACAGAAAAUAUAAAGUCGACAUAAAACCACCACACGUCUGUAACAAAACAAGAGAGCAGAAACAUUAGUACUCUAUAGAAGGAAAUCAUACAUGGGGGAGGCAAAUAUAAGUGCAAGUACAAAAACAAAGGCUGGACCUUAAAACAAGUCUGGGAGAACAUGUGUUUGCAUGGUAGCAUCCUGAUCCUGGGAUUUAUAUGAAAGAGAAGACUGGGAGAAUAUGUGUUUGCAUGGUAACAACCUGAUCCUGGGAUUUAUUUGAUGGUUCCUUACCAAUCUCACAUAAAUACUUCUGACUAUGGUUUUCUUUCACCUUCCACAAAUACUCCACCCUGCCUCCUACAAACACAAGUGAAAGCUGUUAAAGACAUAUCUGCGUUGAGGUUUUGAAAGAAUUUGGAAAUAAAGUUAUUGCACUGGUUCUCCAAAUGCCAUAGAAGAGGACCAGGUCAGCCAAAAAGUCCACAAAACUGACAAUUUCAUUAUGAAAUUGAGGGCAGAAGUUUCUUUUCUUUUAUGGGUUCUUGCACAUUUUCUGGAAUCCUGUCACAGCCUGUUUAGUGCUUUAAAACUUGAGAAUUUUAGAACAGAGGUUCUCAAUCAUUUUAAGCCCAGGACCACAUUUGGAAAUCCAAAAAACAGUUGUGAAGACCAUAGACUACUAAUUUAACAGAAGGAAAAUGGAAAGGUGGCUGUCUCAGGGCGCCCAUGGGUGCCACAUUGGAGACCCCAGCUUUAGAAGAUGUUGAGCACUGAUUUUAGCAUUGCUCCAUCUUCAGAAAUGCAGGGUAAACAGCUUUCACAAUUUCACUGGCAUUCUGUGUAGUUUUGUAGUUUGCUUGAAGAAUUGGCUGGGAAAACCCCCCGGAAUCCCAGCCAGGAAAUGCACUACAAGCAAUUAAGAGGGUGUUUGUUUUAAGCCAGGAUUUGGAAUUGAAACUGUACUGCAUUUCGUCUGUGGCUUCUCAAAAUCCCCCACCCACUUCAAAGGACAGCAUUUAACAGACAGUAAAGAUGAAGGAAAUUCAGAGGGCCUUUUUUUGAAAAUGAAGUGGAAGCAGACAACUACUAGGCAUGUGGCCACUCCUUAAAAACCGAGAGUAGGUGAUGCCUGUAACUGGACAGAGACCAUUCUGACAUAAGUGAUAAUCACAUGACUGUAGACUUCAGAGGAUUUGCACAUGUGAAUGAGUCCCUGCAGAUCAAAAAUCACAAGUAGAAACGGCAUAUUAUUUUCAAUACAGCAUUUUUUCAGUAUGAAUUCAGCCACAUUGUAAGCCCUUUAUUUUCGCCACACACUCUCUCUUCAGAUUUUCAAGACAGUGCAGGAAGCGAUUGCCACUUCCUUCAUGUUACCCCCAUACUCAUCAUGUUACCCUUGGCAGUUGGACUUGUGUAAAGCCACCUCUUAAAACUCAAUCCCAUCCAUGUUUACUUAGAAGUUCAACUCACUUCCUUGGACUUACUUAACAUGUGCUUGGGACUGUAACCUUAGAAGGUUGAUUUCUGACUUUAUCAUUCCUAGAAAACAUCACCUUUGUCUUUCUGUUUUAGUUCUGAUUUAUCAAAGAGAUCAAUGGAUUUAAAAAAUCGGCACAAAGGGCUACUACAUGCUUUUUAUGCUUGUUCAGUUUUUAGCAAUGCACUGUUGCAGUAGUCUUCCUAACCACAAUAGCCUGGUGAUUGUUUAAUCAGACAUCAACUGCAAAUGAAACAUAGAGGAUGAAUCAGGAAAGACAAGUAUAAAAGAGACCCAUCAGUUUUCAGAAUAGUUCUAUGUAUGUUUUCCUAAAACAAAAAUUACAUUUGAGCUGUUCUUAAAGGAUUCGUGUUUUUAUUUAUUCCCAAGUGUAGCAGCACCCAGAGGUGAAAAGCUGGCUAAUUGCAGAUUCUGAUGUGCCCUAUAGUACUCUGAGACAAGUUCCCUUUGAAUGAGGAUUAUAAUAUUUUUUCAGGUGGUAGGUUCCAGUGUCUUCUAUGUAAACAGCUGAUAUAAACCAAACCAGAUGUUGCCUUUCCUACAUAUUUUACAAAAUUCACUGUAAGCAAUCAAAUCAAGUGAACCCUGCUAUUAAAAGAGAUUCUCCUGUUCUGAGCUGAACCCACACAUAAAACCCUUACUGGACUGGCUCAUAUGCAUAUAUUAUCAUUACCUGGUUUAUCAGCAUUUGAUGAUCAGGAGCUGACUCUGCAAACUAACCCCAGUACAGCGUGUUAUUAAUUAUUGUUGUUGUUUUUAGUAAUAUUUAUUACUUAAAAUUAUACUUCCCUUCAAAUGAAAUAACAAGGUUCACACACACACACACACACACACACACACACACAAAAUGUUGUUGCCAUCCAUCUGUCUUGAGAGACAGUAGAGUGCACCUCGGGGGUGAAGUCAAACUGCUGCGUUUGGCUUUUUCUGCAACAAAAUAGAAGUACAAUAAAACUACAGUUAAACAACAGAUGCUGCUUGAAUGGCAACUAAGUUAAAAAGAAACCAACAUGUUUCAGUGGACAGCAUUUUUCUAUGCUAAAUAUUAGGUCUAUAGCAGUGUUUCCCAAACUUGGGUCUCCAGCUGUGUGUAGACUACAACUCCCAUCAUCCCUAGCUAGCAGGACCAGUGGUCAGGGAUGAUGGGAGUCGUAGUCCAAUAACAGCUGGAGACCCAGGUUUGGGAAACACUGACCCAAAGUAUUUAGAUUAGCUGUGGGGGGAGGUCACAUUAAAAUAAGUCUAACGUCCGGUGUAAACAGGCUGUUGCCAUUCUCAUCUCAGAUGGUAGUAAGGUGUGUCUGUUUGAGGCUUCUGAUGGGGCACAGCCAGUUGCAGAAGAUGCAGGACACUCAUAUAGAGCUCCAAACAGUCCACAUUCCAGAUGUGGGUCUUUGUGGACUUCUUUGUGAUGUAAUCCAAAGAAGUGAUGGUAUGUUAUUGGUGACACAUUCUAUUCUGCCUUUCCUCUGCUGUUUUGCUCAGUAGCAUGGAAGACAGUGUGGAGGAAGCUAUUGCAAAGAUAAUAUUUUUAAUAAUUUCCUGGUAAGUGGAACCUGUGCUUGUUGUCUCUGGCCUUUUGGCCACUUUGCACAGAAACAAUGUUUGCUGUGGCUAAACUAGUGUAGGCUGCAGUUGGUGGCAGACCUUGAGGUCUCAAAUUUCAGUGACACCCUGUGUGAUGCCAAAAUUUGGCAAACCCCCCCCCACCUCUUGCCUUCCAUGCUGUGUAAUAGUUGCAGCACCCCCAAGUCUCUGCACCCUGUGUGACUGAACCAGUUAUGCUCCCGUAAAUCCGCCUCUGCUGCAGUAAAAUACUUAAAACUGUAGGAAUGAGACACAUGUCUCCUAACGCGUAAUGGAUAUGUGCCAGGGAGCCACAGUUCCCCAUCACAUGCAUCCUUCAUAUCACUAAGUGUUAGGAGAAGUGGAUCUCCUUUCCACAUGUUAUAUUCAUCAUCAUCAUCAUUUCAGCUUGUAAACCUCCUUGUGUAUAGUAAUAUAAAAAGGUGGAAUGUAAAUUAAAAGUGAAAUGAAAUAGGAAACAACAGUGGAACACCAGACUAACUGCAAUAAACAUACUUGCCAAAUAAAGCAGGACACACACACACACACACACACACACCCCAACUUAGAAAUCUUCCCUGAAUGGGCCCCUUUAUUGUAAGCCGUGUAAAAACGUGUACAGCACUGUUAUCUGUACAUAAAAAUAGUUUACAGGUUGACACCCUUAACUGACUGGUUUCCAUUCUGAAGGAAUUACUGAGGGCAUGAAUUGUUUUUUGUGAGAGGUUGCUGGGGUAAACAUGAUGUCAGAAUUACUUCUUCCUACUGAGCAAGAAGCAAUGUAUUCCAGCCCAUAUUUUGCUCUAAAGGGGGUUGGGGGUGGAAGAUGUGUCAUCCCUGGUAAGAAUGACUCAAACAGAUUUCACUGACUGCUGAAAUGUUCGAUGGUAAAUUAAGUGUGUCUUUUCCAUGGCACACUGGUACUUUGAGAUGCACUUGUAAUUCUUUGUGUUCGAAACUGUUUGGUGUUUCUAACCCUAUUCUGAAAGCCUUGUCCUAGUUGUGAAAUAAUCCUUCCAUAAAAUAUAAGCUGCUUACUGAUAAUAGGUACGGUAGGUAAAUUUGUUUCAGGCACUGUUUUAUUGUCAUUUGUUCAGCCAAACUGCUUUUCAGAAACCCAUUAUAAAUAAUGUUCAUGCAUUUAAAUAUGACUAUUAAAUUACUUUCAAUUUAGAGCUCAGGAAUGUGAGGGUGGGGUGGGUGGGUUUUUUGUUUUUUGUUUUGGUUGCAACAAAGAACAAAACACACACCCCCUUUGAUGUGCAGUGCAACUAUAAUUUUAAAUAUAAUACUUUGCAUAUCUAGAGCAUUGUCUGUGUUGUCAGACAGCAAUGAAUUCAGUCAUGGCAUGUUGCUGUGCAUAUUUUAAGUUAAACUCUCUAGUAUGUUCUCUGCAGUCCUUAAUAAAACAAACAGAUGCAUUUGCUCCUUCCUCCAGCCCAAGCUUUGCUUUUAAACCAAAUAUUCUCAUCCUCCUAGGAGGCCACCUUUUCAGUGAUUAACUUUUUAGUACUUCAUUAGAGACUCAAGAGUUCUUAACUAACAAGUGCCCUGGUGUUUUUCAGACCCUCCACUGCUCUCUACUUCAGAUGUGGCCAGGAGGUGUGAUGACCUUCCACAGUGGCCACAAUGUUAGGAACAAAGACAUCCCAGGAAAGAAAGAAGAUUUGCUAGCUUUGUAUAAGGGGGAAAAACCCAUUUGAACUCUGCUCAGAAAGCAUUUACAGAGGGUAUCCAGGCUCCUGAUUCUUCCUAAAUGCCUGACUUUAGCAUUUUUUUUAGAGAGAGACACUGUCAUGUUAAUUAAGGCUAAAGACCAAUCUGUUUUGGUUCUUCUCACCACAGUACUUCACUUCAGGAAUCCCUUGAUUAAAAAUGGAUCAUUUGGAUUCGCCUCAUCAGUACAAAUAAUUUCUAGGAACAUCAAACUGAAAAUCACCCCGUUUCCUAAGGAAGCUUAUAAAUGCCGAUUCCAGAAUAAUGUUCAAGGGCCUUUGGUGAGGUGGGUGUGAAUUUUAUGAAGUACAAAAGGACUUUGAGGGAGAGAAUGCAGCCAACAAAUGUUCUAGCACUGUCUGCAAAGGCCAAUUCCUCAAUUCCAUCUCUUGGUCACAUUAAUUUUCUUGUGCGGAAGGUCAUCAAGUUGAAUGGAAAAUGCAGGCAAUGCUAUCUGCAUGGGCCACUGAUCCAUUUAGUGCAUUCCCUACAAUAAUAUAUUUAACUAAACAGGUCCUUCUGUCUUCCUCCACCUGCCAUAAUGAGCUUUACUAGUUGAUCCUCUUACUUCUAUAAACUAGAUCUUUAUAGAAAAUUGAAAUUUGUCUACUUAAGGUAGGGAUUUGGGGCUUAUCCACACAUACCUUUUGCCUUUUAUUUCCAGGGUUUUUGUUUGCUUGCUUUGUCCCAAGCUUUCCCCACGAAAACCCGCUCUUUAUUGCUGAAUCACAGCAAAUGUCAGUCUGGGUUUUCCACAGAUUGCUGUUUGCUCCAAUUGAGCCUUAAAGAGUGGGGUUUUGAAACGAGAGCACUGAGAAGAAGAAUUUAUUAUUUAUACCCUGCCCAUCUUGCUGGGCUUCCCCAGCCACUCUGGGCAGCUUCCAACAAAAUAUUAAAAGUACAUUAAAAGAUCAGUCAUUUAAAAUUUCCCUAGACGGGGCUGCCUUCAGAUGUCUUCUAAAAGUCAGAUAGUUGUUUAUUUCCUUAACAUCUGAUGGGAGGGCGUUCCACAGGGCGGGUGCCACUACUGAGAAGGCCCUCUGCCCUGUUCCCUGUAACUUGGCUUCUCACAGUGAGAGAACCACCAGAAGGCCCUCGGAGCUGGACCUCAGUGUCCUGGACCUCAGUGUCCAGGCUGAACGAUGGGGGUGGAGACGCUCCUUCAGUUAUACUGGGCUGAGGCCGUUUAGAGCUUUAAAGUUUAGCACCAACACUUUGAACUGUGCUCAGAAACGUACUGGAAGCCAAUGUAAGUCUUUCAAGACCAGUGUUAUGUGGUCUUGGCAGCUACUCCCAGUCACCAGUCUAGCUGCUGCAUUCUGGAUUAGUUGUAGUUUCUGGGUCACCUUCAAAGGGGGGUGCUUGGACAUGAAGCCUCAGAUCAGGGGCCAUGCCUGUGAAGAGUGGAGAAAAGGUAAGUGUGGAUGAGCCCUUAGUAUUUGUGUGUGCAAAACACAGUUAUCUAAAAGCUGGAAAUAAUGGGCAUGAUUUUGAGCAUAUCUAAGUCCCGUUGGUCUCAGUGCGAAUGUUACUUGUGCACAUAGGUUUUUUCCUACUGAAUUCAAUUGGGCUUGGAAAUGCUUACCUUUGGCUUCUUUCUCUGACAUUUUUGUUGCAUUUUAAAUCUUUCAAGAGAAACACAUUUAUCAUUGAACAGCCCAUUUGGAUGUUGUCAUGUUACUUAUUUUUUUACUACUGUCACUGAUAUGCUUAAUUUUUAGUAUAUAGCACUCCACAGUAAAUAAAAUCAGAGGAUUUUAUCACCAAUUUCUGCAGCGGGUAACACUCUUUUGUCCUAAUUAACACCAGAAGGUUUGGUUGCAAUUCUUUGCUAUCCGCAUAAGGUAUGUUUCUUGCUGCCAGCUUAAAACACUUAUUACUCAUUCAUGAGGGCUUCUGCAAUCUCUGUACUACCCUAGAUACCUUUUCCCACUCUAAAGACAGUGGGGUUUAGUUUACAUUUUCCUUCAUUGCUCUAAUACAUUUUGACAUCCCAGAUGUGGUGUAUCAUUAACACUGAAUAUACCCAUGACAGAUAACAUAAAGCAUUGUCAUUCAUAAAACAUUAUACUGUGGGAGUUAUCCUUGAAACCCCUUACUUCUACUUUCCCCCUAAUUUAAGGGUUUUUAUUUUUUCUAGUUCAUAAGUUUAUUGUUCCAGCCAAAGGCCAUGACAAACUUGCAGCGAUCGUAUUAAUAAAAUAAUACAGAACAUCCGCCCAUGAAAUAAGCCAACAUCCGUUUCUUGUUUCUUUUGGGUGGGGUAGCAUAAAGAUAUGAACAGCAAGUGAUUGCCUACAAAUCCACAGACCACUCGAUCCAGGUUAACUCAGUUGAAGUCAAGAAGAUUGCUUCAGGGAGAGUAAAUUCAUUAAGGAUUGCAGCCAGUGAAGAGGCUGAGGGGUUUGAGUAAUGUUUCGCAGCUAAUGAAGAUCAGAUAGGAAGUACUGAGAGGAGAGUUUAAUUGGUUAUAUUCUUCCUCAAUCUUCUAAUCCCAAAUUUUUCAAGGCCGACAAUGUUGCUGCUGUUCUCAUUUUAAACAUUUCAAUAUCCACCACCUUCAUUGCUGAUUUCCCUAGUCAAAUUGAAGGGGGAACCCCCAUAACUAUGCAUAUUUUUCUUUUCAGAAAACCCUGGGAGUUUUUGCAGUAUAGGCAAUAUAAAAGUGCCUCUAAAUUCCUGGACUUCGACAUGUGGAAAAUAUGGUGUCUUUGGAAACAUUCAGACUGCUAACAUGUGAGAUAUCAGGAAUGCUAUUUCAUUUGUGCUUUGGUCCCGAAAAGUCAAGACAUAGAGGUCUUGUGUGGGAGAGUGGGAAGGAUGUUCAGCUUGAAUGUGAUGAGGAAAAUCAAACCCACAUGAAACCUUUAAAAAGAAGGAUUCAGACAACUAAGCCACUCUUGAUGUGCAUUGGAAGUUCCUUAUUUUGUGGAUUUGCCACAAUUGGCUUCUGUGAGUGGUUAUCCACAUGCUUUACUAAUUAUCCCCAAUGUGCUUGAAGGCACAUUUAUGAAUGUCAAUCAUUUAUUGUCAAUUUAUGUUCUCCAGGGGGUGAGUGGAAUGGAAGCUAUUGAUAGUGCAGAAACGUUUUAGACUUAAUGCAUUAGCAUUUCCAUGAGGAUCAUACCACACAGUGACUUGACAAGUCCAUCUUCAUCCUAAAUAAACAUAACCUUUUGCAUCUCUUUUGCAGGCGACAGGAAAACUGAGCAAUUUCCUUAAGGGGGCUUUAAAUUCUUGGCACAAUGCCAGCACUCUUGUUGCAUUUUUGAAAGAAUAAAAUAUAACAUUCGUU